UACGUAGGUGGCAAGCGUUGUCCGGAAUUAUUGGGCGUAAAGCGCGCGCAGGCGGCCUCUUAAGUCUGAUGUGAAAGCCCCCGGCUCAACCGGGGAGGGCCAUUGGAAACUGGGAGGCUUGAGUAUAGGAGAGAAGAGUGGAAUUCCACGUGUAGCGGCGAAAUGCGUAGAGAUGUGGAGGAACACCAGUGGCGAAGGCGACUCUUUGGCCUAUAACUGACGCUGAGGCGCGAAAGCGUGGGGAGCAAACAGG
rnacentral:rRNA from 1 species